rnacentral:lncRNA from 1 species
UAUUAAUAAAAUUAAUUAAUUAAUGUUUUAUUUGUGUUUGAGUGCAAGUAAUCCAAGAGAUUCAAUAACGCAGGUUUCAGCCCAAUGCCCCGGCAGCUCGAGCUCAACAAAUUUNNNNNNNNNNNNNNNNNNNNNNNNNNNNNNNNNNNNNNNNNNNNNNNNNNNNNNNNNNNNNNNNNNNNNNNNNNNNNNNNNNNNNNNNNGUCGUCUGUUUAGGAACAAACCCAAACUCCCAAACCGGCUCUUUAAUUCAACCGCGUUUCAAAAUUCCGUCUCCUCAGCUUCCCAACGUUCGUCAUCUAAGCCGCGUCUCAUCCUGAGUAAAUUCCAGCCGAUGGAAGAGGAGGAAGCCAUCUGGUGAGGAGUCUUCUCAACACCCCAACAGUCAUCUUCUUCCACGCUUCCCAGCCGCAUCCCAACGUCCGUCCAUGGCAUCUCAAGCGUUGUGGCAUCAAACAGCCGCAUGGCUUCUUGUCUCCCAACCGGAUCAUUUCAAGCAACAGUGGAAGCAUCCCAGCAGCCGAAGAGUCCCAAGCGAUUCGACUUCAUCUAAUCCGCGUCUCAUCCACUCCCAGCAGCGUUUCAGCUUCUCCGAUCGCUUCUCCUCCUUCAAACAUGCUGAAAGUGUCUAUAAAAGGAAUCGGGAAGGGGCUACCAGGGGGAUCAUCCGGUGGAGGCAGGAGGACACGGAUCAAGGGACGGAAGAAGGAAACCAGAGGUCUCCCAAACAACUGCAGGCCUUCUUCCGAUUUUUCUCAGCCGAGGGAGAGAGGAGAAGAGGAUAGCCGGCCGUGCGACGAAGGAGGAAGAGGCCAAGGGAACCAGCAAGCAAAANNNNNNNNNNNNNNNNNNNNGAUCCGUCUUCUCAGCCGGGCGAGAGAAGGAGGAGAAGCAUCGGGAGGAGAAAAGAAAAGAAAAGAAAGAAAACAGAGAAGAAAGGGAUUUAUGUUUUCUUAAGAGAAGAAAGGGAAAAAAAAGGGAUUUAUGUUUUAUUUUAUUUAUUCUAUGCUAAUCCCUUUUAUAAAAUUGCUUGCAUCUCAUAUGGAUAGCUAAAUCUUUUUUUAGCUAAGGCUAGGGAAAAGCCUAGCAUUUUCUUCAUGUAUUUCCUUUAAUCAUCAAUUGGAUUUUAAUGUUUUUGAUUUGAUUUAUGGUGCAGUGGAUUGAUAGAAAUUAUUUCAAACUUAUAUAUUUUCUUUGAUUUGUUAUUUCCCCCGGGUAUAACAGAUGCUUAGAAAUCCAUGUAGUUUAAAAUAGAAUUACUGUAAUGCUGCCCAUAAAACUAAAUCUAUUUUAUUAUGAUUAAUUGAUGAUUUUAAGAAAUGCAUGAUUAAGUGCUAGGCUGAAUCCUAAUGCCUUAGUUAUAUUUUUGUCAAUCUGAAUAUUAUUUAGCCUUUAGUUUUUGUUCACUGUCAAAUCCCUGUGGAUUCGAUCUCGGUCUCACCGAGAAUAUUACUUUGCUACGCCCUAUACUUAGGGUAUUCUACAUUUAAUUUUCUUUUUAAAAGAGCAAGAUUAAAGUCGUAGCACCGGCUGCCUAUGAGAUCAGUGCUGUGAGGGCAGGGUCUGGACAUUCACCCUUAGUACCCAGGGUGCCAGUUGGAUGAGACCAUGGACCAUGUGUUGUUCCAAUGAAAGCGAGAUAGGAGGGUGUGGGGGCUCGUUGACAUCCUAUCGGAGGCACGGUGCCACUCGGGCCCCUUCCUACAGGCGCUCAGACGGUGGGCCAUCACCCCUCAGACUCAACUGAUGGCUAUUGGAGCAGUUUAUACGACUUACCAUAUCUGGCUGGCCAGGAAUGUCUGAAUUUUUGGAGAGAGCAACCCUUCACCUAGGUUCAUUGUGGAGUAAGCCCGGGCUCAGGCAGUUGAGGCCACUCGUACUAGUCCAUCGGAUGGGCCUUUGAUAGUUUAAGGUGCGUGGGGCUCUACUUCUGCUCUUGUAACGCAUCGUACGGUGUUUUUCACCUGAGAACCUCUACCUCCAAGUUUUCUCAAGGUCAAUUUUGAUGGAUGCGUGCUUGAUGAGGGCAGGAGAAGUGCAGACUUCGUCAUCAGGAGCCCGAACUUCAGGGUGGUUGCUGCCGGCGUAUGCUAGAUCUUUGACACUUCUGUUCCGAAGGCAGAGUUGAGAGCAACAUGGGCUGACCUGAGUUAUGCAUAGCGCGCCUUGUGGGUCAAAGCAGUUUGGCUAGAGGAUGAUUCGACCACAGUGAUCGGCUGGAUCCAUGGGGCAUCGGUGGCGUGGAUGGAUGCCACCCCCUGCUCCAAAACAUCCGAGCCAUAGUGAGAGGCGAUGUUGUAUUGCAGGCAGGACACGUGUACAGAGAAGCCAAUGAAGCCGCAGAUUGGAUGGUCUCGUAUGUGGCAGAUCACUUCGAGGGACCCUAUGGGUCGGAAAACGGGAGUUACAUAGAGCACUUCAAGAUGUAUUAUUUUUGACUUUUUUAUAUGUAUCCAUAGCUAUCUGCUGCAGUAAAAAAAAAAGAAAUAAACCAUCAUUAUAUCUUUAACAGUAGAGUUAGCGGUAUUUUUGCCGACAAAUGUGCAUCAAUUUGAGUGCUUAUUUCCCCAUGAGAUCGGUGGUAAAAAUAUUUUAACCCAUUACUCUAGUGCAAUCCGCAGCCUCUGAUCAGUACUCCCCAGACAACUAUGUCAGGCUCCACUGGCUUUACUUCGAAUAGCCUCUCUAGGCCUCCACUACCCAAGAGGUCCUGUACUCCCUCUGCAGAGGUACCUUUCCCCUUUCUCGAUCAGUCCACCAUGUCGUCGAGAUGCAAAGUAGCUUCACCACGCGGUCGGGUUGAACAACAUCCUCUUCCUUCAUCUCAAAUGCUUCCACUUCAAGUGCUCAUGCCUCGCGUUGCUCCCGAUCGUGGAGCUACAUCAUACCAGAUUUCCGCAGAAUAGAUGUCCCCUCGUUUGCUGGGAGUCCAAACUUCGAUCAAUUACCAAGCCAGUGCUGGAAAAGUUGCCAAACCCUAGAGGCUUCUUGUGCUUUCAUGCAUAAUAUGUAAGGAGGAGCAUGCCAUGUUCUUUUGCAGGUGGCUUCCAUCGGCUGCAACAUUUGAUAUUAACAAAACGGCUAACUAGAUUUAGAGGAAUGGAAGGCGGAGGUUGGGAAAAUGCACAUCCUUAUCCACUUAGCUAUCAAAUACUGCUGGAAUUUGAAGAUGCUUCAUUCAUAUGCCCAAAAAUCAAGAUCAAAAAAGGAGUAUGAGGUCCUCCAAUAACGUCCCCUCCAUCAUCUUUUGAAUAACAGCUACUUGUAAGUCUCUCUCUCUCUCNNNNNNNNNNNNNNNNNNNNUACUCUCUCUCUCUCUCUCUCUCUCUCUCUCUCUCUCUCUCUCUCCACCGUUUCCUCCCCUUGUUGCUUGUUAUUCUCUGCAUUUCCACCUCUCAAAAUUCUACUAAGAAAAUAAUCUUCUCUUAAGAUUGAUACACUCAAAGCAUGCCACAUGUUUGACAUAAUAUCGUGCAGAGUAUUAUGAUUUGCAGAGCCUUAUUCCAGAAUUAUAUAAAAUCUUAAUGCCUCAAAAUGGCAUUCUAUGCUAUUAUGGUGCAUAAAACAUUUUAUUUCUACCGGCUGAAAUGCUGGUCUAGGAGCAGCAGUUCUGAUGGGGAACUUGACAAAAAUCUGAUUCUAAAAUUCUUUCCCUCUCUAGCUUAGAACAAGUCAGACUAAAAUUUCAGCACUUAGAAUGUUCAAAAGAUUAGAAGGAAAAGUUUAUUGAUUUUGUAUAAUUCCGGAAUAAAGCUCUGCAAAUCACAUUAUAUUAUGUCAAACCUGAGGCAUGCUACAAUUACUUGUGCUUUGAGUGUAUUCAAUCUCAUAAAAAGCAUGUUCCGUUGGUAGAAUCUUGAGGGUUGGAAAAGCAGAGAAUAACAUGGAACAAGGGAAGGAAAUAGAAGAGAGAGGGGAGCGACUUACAAGGGAAGGAGGAGACAUGUUGGACCUUGUACCCCUCCUCCUUUCUGACCCUAUCAUUGAACUCUUGGGCACGCAAAUCAGCUUCAGUUCCUAAAGGGUGGUCACUUUGAUGUGAUCCUGUGGGAAGCAUCUUCAAAUUCUGGCAGUACUCGAUGGUUAAGUGGGUGAGGCUGCGCAUCACGCCAACCUCCACUCUCCAUUCCUCUGAAUCUAGAAGUAUUGUCAAUAUCAAGUAUUGCAGCCGAGGAAAGCCAUCAGGUGAAGAACAGGACAUGCUCCUCUUUGCAUACGCAUGGAAACACAAUGAAAGAAGCCUAAGGCUUGGCAGCUUCUCCAGCACUGGCUUGAUAACUGAUGUCCACGAAACCACGUUCCUCCUCUCAGACAUCCGAUCGAAGCACUGCUUUGGCUGAGUCGCCCGCGCGUUUGUAGCCAGCCAGCAUUGCGUUCCAUGAGACGACAUCUCUAUGAGGCAUUUUGUCGGACAGCUUCUCUGCAUACUUGAUGUCUUGGAAAAUUUUGGCUGCAUCGAUUCGGUGACCAUGACGAAGAUGGAGUUGGGUUAUUUGUGAUGGUACCGCAUCAAGACUGGGGUACUGGUGAUGGAGGGAUGAUGACCGUCUAUCGGCUACGGUAAGCCCUUGGGUAUAUCAAGGUUAUGAAAGAUGUCCAUGUUCUUUAUGACCUAAUGUGCGACUGCUAUUUGUGCUCAUAAUAUUUGCAGAAUAAAGUAGUCCUCCAUGUAUCCGAUAAUUAAAGCAGUCCUCCAUGACACCAAGUUCUUGACCAGGAUUUCAUCGAACACCCACCGACGAGCAUUUGGGUGUUUCAAACUCGCCACAGCCGCCGCCGAUCAGAGCAUCUCCAGGCAAAUGUAAUUGAAUCAAAUGCCAUGCGAAUUUUGACGGCAUGAUGCUGCGGAACCACCACAAAGCUGGCUACAGCAGCAGUGAUAACAGCGGCCAGUGUUGAUCCUGACCGGACCAUCUCCAAGAAAUAGCUGAACACUUCGGCUGAGUCGCCGGCGCGUUUGUAGCCAGCCAGCAUUGCGUUACAUGAGACGACAUCUCUAUGGGGCAUUUCGUCGAACAGCUUCUCUGCAUGCUUGAUAUCUCGGAAAAUUUUGGUCGCAUCGAUCAGGUGGCCAUGACGAAGAUGGGUGGCGAUGAUGGAGUUGGGUUAUCUGUGAUGGCAGCGCAUCAAGAUUGGGGUAUUGGUGAUGGAGGGAUGAUGACUAUCAGCUACGGUUAGCCCUUGGGUAUAUCAAGGUCAUAAAAGAUGACCAUGUUCUUUAUGACCUAAUGUGCGACUGCUAUUGUGCUCAUAAUAUUUGCAGAAUAAAGUAUUAUUUCUACACAAGUAUGAGAGCUGGGGUUGGGCAAUUAAACCCCUCGUUAAAUCUUUAACAGUGGAGUUGACAGUAUUUUUGCCUACAAAUGUGCAUCAAUUUUAGUGCUUAUUUUCCUAUGAGAUCGGUGGUAAAAAUAUUUUAACCCAUUACUCUGCCCUGCUCAAGUUUUGGUAGACACCAGCCUUGACGUAGUCUGGCUUUUUUUAUAAACAAACAUAAGGUUCAUGCGGACAGUGACUUUGUCAAAAAUAAUGCUGUUAUUUUGUAGUUUUCAUGAACAAUUACCCCUUAAGAUGAUUCAGAACAGCCUUCUAUUUCAUAAAUCGUAAUAUUUUCAACAAAAAAAAAUGCAAUCAACAAGGUUGUAAUGUGCAAUAGCAGCAAACAUAGGUUGCCUUCAUAACAAGAUACAAUCACCACUGAAACCUUGGUUCAAAGGCCCGGUGUUAGAUUGAAACUAUGGAAGUUCGCAUAGAAGCAAUAAAACACUGCUACCAUAAUGAGAGUUAUCAAAGAUCCAAAUCAAUUUUAUAAAACAUUUCAGGUCAGAUUUGAUAGAAGCUAUAUAUAUUAGAUAAAGCAUUUAACACGGCCCACACCUUGUUUAGCUGACAAUAUUACCCAUAUACCUUGGAUCAAAUACUGUGAACACUUCUUUCAUGUAUUUCUAGUCAUCUGGUUCUCACCUACAAAAACUUGUAUCACAGAAGAAAACUGAACAAGAGCAGCAAUACACUAAGAUAGAAGGACUACCUAGCUAUCUUCUCAGCCUUUAAUGUUUUCGCUUUUCUACUCACACCAUCAUUUCUAUCAUCCUUGUCAUCGUCGCCAACAAAAAUAAUAUUACCACCGUCAUCAACAUCAUCUACUUCCAACUCACCUUCAUCAUCCCAGUCUUUGCCUUCACCAUCGAACUCAUCAUCUUCAUAUUCCUCGUCCAGCAUGCCCUGUUGAGCACGUACAGUGUGGUACUCUGGUGGGGGAGGACAGUCCUCUGUGAUUGGCUCAUCACGCUUGAUCACAAGAUGCCGAAUGAUCCGUUCAUCUUUGUCCAGCAUGCUCUUGAAGUCAUUGAUUAAUUUGGCUUCCAGCUCAAAGUUCAUCAAAAUAUAGUUGGCGUUCUUUGCCUUCCUUAUCUUAUAAGCAAGUCGUCUAAGCCCCCAAUUGUUCAGCCUCCAAAUCCUUCCUUUUCUCUCCCUGAUAAAAUCUGCGAUGACGGAGAAACGAAUAAUUUGUUGUUAAGUAGUUAGUACAUGAAAUAAUCCAUUAACCAUUAGAUAAACAAUUCCAAACACAAUUUUUUCCUUCACAAUUUAUUUUAUACUUAUGUGGAAAACAAAAAGUUGGGGCAUGAAGAAUUGAAAUGAUACCAGCAAUGUUUAUUCUUUCCAAUCUGAAGGAGACAAACAAAGCCAGGCAUGCAUCAAGCAGGAUUGGCUGCCGUUCAUGGAGAAACUAGGUGGCUUUAGCCUACAUAUGCAUGCAAAUAUAGGCACAUUCUGAGGACAUUGAAGUCUAGUCAAAAUGGUGAUCAUGCCAACCUUGAAUUGAAGAUGAAAUAGAAGACUCAGAAAGGUAUGACAGUUCACUCUUCAAUUUGGAGUUUGAUCUUUAUAUUGCUCGACUCACUGAAAGGUUUGACAUUUCCUUCCAAUGUUCUACCAGAAAGCUAGAGGAAAUCACACUUGAGCUUCCUGUACCACUCCAAUGAAAAAGGAUAAAGCACAUAGUAGGCAGCCACAAAUGUUCCACGUGAAGAUGAACUGCAGAGAAAGCAUGCUUGGAUCUUCAGUUUGUCAGAUCCUCCUAAAAAUGGUGACCCAGGAAGAUCUUCCAAGGUUUUCAGAUCCAACAAGCAUUUCAAGCCCAUCAUUAACCAUCCUCUACUAGGUUAUUGAAUGUCCUUAAGGCAGACAUUUAAAAAGCCUCUUUCAUCCAUUACAUCUAACACUCUCUUAAGAUCCAGAUUUACCCUAAUUAGAAGGCAAGAAGCUCAUUCACCUGCAUAAAAACCAUUUAAGUUCCUUAAAUUAUACAUCACAAUUCCCUGCACUCAAGACCAGUGCAAACUUUUAACUCACUGUUUUUGCAAAAGCCAUGAAAGAGAAGGAAAACAAGCUGUGACAGAUUCUCCUAGAGAUAAAUAGUAUUGGUGGCCUCAGCGACCCAAAAAUACUAAUCUGAUAAACUGUAACAAUCUGCAAGUAGGAAACAAAUGUGGGAAACAAAAACAGAAGUGGACAUCUUUCCAAUGGAUACCAAGUAUUAAUGACAACAAAGAAAUUCUGUCAAGUUAAUUCUUGAGUGCAUUUCUAGAGCAUCACCAAUAAGAUUACCUGAGUCAAUCAAUUAAGAACUACCCCACAAAGUUCAAACCUAGAACUUAUCCCAAAUGGAUAAGCGCUGCAACCGCUGGGGUAAAGGCCAGUUUGCCGAAGAAAAUGAGAGUUCACAGGGUAUAGCUUUGUAAUAAUAACUGAAUUAUGAAACCUUUUUUUCCUAUUCCACUUUUAAUAUGGUUGUUGACAUCAUAUAUAUAAUCAAACAAACGAAACUUGAUAUCAAGUAUCGGUCUUUAUGAAAGCAGAAACACAAAAAGCAGAGUGCCUAAUUAAGGUUUAACUAGAAGGCCACCAAACACAAAAAUGAAACAACGUAAGAAGCUACAUCAUCAUUCCUAUCAUCUUAGUUAUUAUCUUUUAUGAUAAUAAAAUAGUCAAAAUUAUGUGCCCAUUAACAUGGAAAUGCAGAGAACAAAUCAUGAGAGAAAUCAACUAGUCCAAAAAGCACCUUGCACUUUUGAUAUGACACUUUCAACCUCAUCCACAUGAUCUUCAUGAAUUAAAUAAACCACCUCAUAAUGACGCACUGCCAAGAAAGAAACACAAGUAAGCAUAUAGCAGGAAAAACUGGAUAUAUACAGGUCUACAUAAGUAUCUGAAGAGAAUCUAUGAAUAGCUUUCAUCAUUGUUACUUUCAUAAAUUAUAUCAAGAAAAGGACAACUUUCAUAAUAAACCUUACAAUCCUAAUAGUACACUAUGCAUACCAUGUCAGAGAACUAAUUAGGACAAAAAAUCCAGAUACUGCAUCAUUUCUCCAAAAUAAGUUUAUAUGGUUCAUGCCUUCUUAAAGAGGAAGGAGUGAAUUUUAAAUGUUUUAAAUGUUUGUAGGAACAACUUUGUACAGGUAUAUAUAGAAGAAAGUAUGAGGGCAGUGAUAAAUGACAGAAUUUGCUACUGCUUUUGCAAGGUGAUAAGGAGAAAAAGAUAGACGAUAUAUAGACCUACAGAAGAUGAUGGAACAUGAGAAAACACUCUAUAAGCAAGUGGCAGAAAUAAAGAAUCAAACGAUCUCACAACAUUUUUAUAAGAAGCAUCUACCUGUAACAAGAUACAUUCUGCGAUCUGAUUGUACACACAAUACCUGUCUUUGAUAACCUUCUUAAAGACUUCGUGUUUCUCUUUUUGCGCCCUUUUCCACAUUACCUGAGGGACACUGUUAGAAGCCUCUAUCCCUCAAAAGGCAGAUGAUUGAAUGUACUUAGCCUUCCCUACACACCCUGACAGAAAAGUGUGACAAGCUAACCUUUUAAUGAAAACCUCCCUAUGAACCAUAUCAGAGAAACAAAUGAGACACCAUGUCUUCCUCAAAUCCACAAAGAAACACUUGAUAUUGACAUUAAUGCACCUAUUAAAAUGAAAUCCAAAUGAAUGUCUCAAUUUUAUGAGGUACUAAACAUGCCAUUCGGAAGUGAUGCUCCAACCACCAACUGUUAAAAUGAGAAUGGUACCAAGUCACUCUAACUGAAAUAAUUCCCUAGCAUCAAUCCCUUUAGCACCUGCCACAAAACUUUUUCCCCUGAUUGGGCUCAUAGAUACUGGUAGUAAUCCGCAAGAUUAAUUCUCCAUAUCAUAACUAGAAUGGAAACCACAAACCCACCAUCCUCCAUUCUCAUCU